rnacentral:lncRNA from 1 species
GGUUAACAGCCAGAGUGAUAUGUAGAAUCAAGAACAGAUCUUUUUAGAAAGAUAUUGAUUUGUGGUUAUGUCUAUGGAGAUUCUGAAAUCAUCAUAAUAAUUAAGAAAUAUGUUUGUGAUCAUAUAUUUUAGAACCAUAUAGCCAAGCAUUUCAUGGAGAAGAUGAGAUUAAAUCAUAGAAAAAUGUAUUCCCUAUAUAUUUCUAUGUCUCGACCCUGACACGUGCAGACAAGACAAACUGGAUUUAAACAGGCCGGCUACAACGUUAAGCUAAGUAGAAGGCAGCGAAAAAUCACACAACACAGAAAUAAUUCUGGAAUUGAGGGCAGGAUGUUUCUUUGGCCUUAAGGGUCAAACUUCCACAUUGGAAAAAGAGAGAGCCUGAGCCAAAGUUUGGUUUAUUUUAUAAUGGGACAUCAAAGGCAGAGAUAAGGUUUCAAGGGCGAUAUCUUGCUUCCUGAUGUCUCCUGGUCAUCAGGAGAUUGACUGACAUCUUGGCAGUUCACACCCAUCUCAGGUGCUGUGUGGGAUCUUAGGCAGAGCUUGAAGAGGAGGCUCACCCGCAUCAUGUGAUCAAUCCCUGACAGGUAGUUCCCAGUGCCAGACCUAUCCCCUCAUUUGGCUACUAUGUUCAACAGUCCACACUCACAGCCUGUGGAUGGCUGGUGACACUAUGUAUGUUUGUGAUUUUAAAACCAUGAGUGGAAAAAAGCAGAAUUUAUGAAAUCCUCACUUAAUGCAAUAUUUUCCAUUUAUUGGUAACCGUUUUUAUCACACUACUGAACACCUGGUAGACCGAUUUAUUUUUUUCAAGUAUAUUGCAUCAUGAUUUACAUUCUAUCAUUUUGCUUCUAUUUUAAAAAAUAAUGAGGUUGAAGCUGUGUUUUACAUUGUAAUAAUGUAGCAAGAAUUGAUUUAGAUAACCCUUCUGCAUCACUUUAAUGUAAAGUAGACCAUGGGUUUAUUAUUGCCUAAUUUUUAAAACUGAAAGUUCUGAAGACAUUUAAUUUGCUGCUGGUUCAGGACUGCUCAUUGGAACCUAUUGCUAUUGCUUCUCAGGGAUUAGUGUAAGUUGUCCAAAACUGCACAGUAAUAAUGCACAUAAUAUUCUCCAGAGUUGCUGUGACCAGCAAAGGCUGCCACUUGUGGGAAGCUUUAC